GACAGAGGUCCCGAGCGUUAGGCGGAAUCACUGGGCUUAAAGCGUGUGUAGGCGGAGUUCUAAGUACCUUGUGAAAUCCCACGGCUCAACCGUGGAACUGCUUGGUAUACUGGUUCUCUUGAGCCACCUAGGGGCAACCGGAACAAACGGUGGAGCGGUGAAAUGCUUAGAUAUCGUCAAGAACACCUAUAGCGAAGGCAGCUUACUAGGCUGUAACUGACGCUGAGGCACGAAAGUGUGGGGAUCAAACAGG
rnacentral:rRNA from 1 species